AAGUCGUAACAAAGUUUCCGUAGGUGAACCUGCGGAAGGAUCAUUAACACGUAUCCAAACGUUAAAACCCCCCCCGUGAACCUUCAUCCUGCGCAAUCUCUGAUAAAUUAUAGCCCGGAAAGUUGUAGUGAUUCAGAGACCUCUGGCUACGUGCGAACAUUGGAACAGUUACAAUCGAGCGGUAGUUCUAUAGGCAAUGUUUCCCCAAGCAGUCAGUGUCGGAAAGUGUCAUUGAUUGUGCAAGGCAGGAGCUUUGCCAAAGGGUCCCCAUGCCCCCUAAUAACCCCACAGUUUAAUGUGAAGCUCAAUGUAAUACAUUGGGUAAAAAAACCGAACCACACAAUGGAUAUCUUGGUUCUC
rnacentral:misc_RNA from 1 species